rnacentral:lncRNA from 13 species
GGAUUAGGAGGACCACCCCCCAGCAGCGGGGGUUGCGGGGGGGCUCUCGCAGAGCUGUCAGGUGUCAUUCGGCUUACCCAGCCCCCCCCUCCCCGCCCCUGCAAUUAACUCCAUCUCCUGCUUUGCCAGCCCCUCCCCCGCGGAGACAAAGAGGCCUGUUCCCGAAGUGUCCGACCUCCUGCCCCUUCGAAGGGCCCCGCCCGCGUUUCUCCAGCAGGAAUCGCCCCAGGCGCUGGGAGCCAGAGCAGGCCGGGUCUGACACCCGCCCCAGACUUUCCACGAUCAGGUUUCAUCUGGACUAAAGAGGGGGAAAGAAAGAACGCGCGACUUCCGCGGGCCGGAGCGGUGCGAGGGCUCGGGGGAAAUGCCGGCCUAGCCUGGGUGGGAGGGGACGCGGAGAGGCUCGGGGCUCGGCCUGCGUCUGCCCGGGGACUGGGCCUUGGGACUGGGCCGGGCACAGGUGUCCCGCGGGGGGCGCCCUGACUCGACGCGGACGGGCCACCUGACCCUCCCGCGCCUGCGCUCCCACCCUCCCUGCUCUGCCAUCGCCUCCUCUAACGUGCCUGGGUUCCGCCGAGGCGUGGUCGUCGGAGAUGCUCUGAGGGAGGAACGACGGCUAAAAGCGGUCCUCCGGACCCCUCAGGAGGGGCAGCACCCGGAUUGUCUUAAGUAGAACACACGAAAGGGGCUCUUUGGGAUUUGGGAUUUUUUCUCCCCAAGCAACAGACGUACCUUUCUAGACUCUCCAACUUAGAAACACAGGUUUUGUUUGUUUCACGAUUAGACCUUCAGAGAUCAUCUGAUCCCACAGCCUCCUCCUUUUCCAGAUGAGGGAACUGAAAAUCUGAAAGAUUUUGCCUUUUGCUCAAGGUCACACAGCUCAAGUUCACUGUGCAGCUGGAACUAGAGGGUCUGAAUAUACGGAACCCCCCAGCUCCAUCUCAGAAUAAAAGGAAUGAAAACCUGGGGAAAGGAGCCAAGAAGGAAAGCCACAAAUAUGCAUCUGGCCGAGGCAGAGGGAGCAGCUCCAAGAGUCUGCAGAGAUGCACCGUGACUGCUGUUUGCAGAGGUUCAGCUGCCAGAGGCUCGAAUGCACUCCUGGGUCCUGCCCCUGAGAAAUCAGAGCAGGCAACAGAGAAGACACAUGUUCCCUACCAAUUUUUUCUCUGCGCCAAGUCCUUCAAGUUUCUGCAGACAAUGGGGAAGGACAAGAACUAUGGAAUCAGACAAGAGGUGGCUGGAAUUCCAGCUCCCCAACCCAUUAGAUGGGACCUUGAGCAAGUGACUCAACCUCUCUGAGCCUCAGUCUCUUUGCCUCUUACGUGAGAGGAACGAUAGGACCGUUAUGAGGACCUAUAUAAUGUGUAUUAUAUGAAGCACUUAGCACAGUUCUUGUACCUAGGGCUACAUUAUAACUUUUGUGGGUUUUAGGCAUGUUAGCCUUUUCUGCCAUGAGCCCUUCAGCAAAAACAAAAACAUUAAAAAAUUAAAAAAUAUUUGAUGGCUGCAUUUGUAUAAAAGUGAACACACUAAUAUCGUGUAGUAAAGCUUUUUUUUUUUUUUUUUUUUUUUUUUUGAGAUGGAGUCUUGCUCUGUGGCCCAGGCUGGAGUGCAGUGGUGUGAUCUCGGCUCGCUGCAACCUCUGCCUCCUAGGUUCAAGUGAUUCUUCUGCCUCAGCCUCCUGAGUAGCUGAGAUUACAGGCACCCGCCUCUAUGGCUAGUUAAUUUUUGUAUUUUUUAGUAGAGACGGGGUUUUACCAUGUUGGCUAGGCUGCUCUUGAACUCCCGACCUCAACUGAUCUGCCCGCCUCAGCCUCUCAAAGUGCUGGGAUUACAGGUGUGAGCCACUGCGCCCGGCCAGUACUAAAG